UCCAAUGAAGGUGGCAUUUGUUAGCUAGGUGGGUUAACACUAUACUGCCAAUACCCAUAUCGCAACAUUAGAGACAAUAGCGAAUGCUAGCUAUACAGUCGCAGCAAUGAAGAACGCGAAGGGGGAGAGAUUUUCAACACAACACCGUCAAAAGACAGCCCAACGUUACCUUGGUAUGGUUUGACUGAAUGUAAGUGGUUGGACUAGGCGUAAUCAAACUUUCUUGGCCCGUGACAACAGUGAUGGAUGGACCAGCCUGGAGACAUGGGAAACAGUACAGGUGCAUGCACACCAUUAGCACCUCGUAUUACUGUGUUUGAUUAUUCUUAGUGCAUUGCAUUUCCUUUUGACUUCAACCAGCCCAUAGAAUGGAUGCACAGAAUCAGUGAAUGUGAAUGUUCUGAAGAAUUUUAAAAACCUGUUCUGUCUGUCCCAUCCAUCCUCCAUAUCUUUACCAGUUGUUCACAUAUUCUACCAUUACUGCCAUGUCUCAUUGUUGCAUGUAGUUAGCUGUAAAGCAGUCUAUUUUACAGUGUAAAGGAUGAAUUCUAUACACAGUUGGAACUCUCUUUCACUUCAAAUCAUGCUUUGAUUUGCGUAACAAUUAGAAUUUGGCAUGUAUUGACUUACACGAUAGAUGAUAGGUUCACAGGAGGUUGGUGGCACCUUAAUUGGGGCUCGUGGUAAUGACUGGAGGGGACUCAGUGGAAUGGUAUCAAAUACAGUGCCUUG